rnacentral:rRNA from 1 species
CACUCUUGACAUCCAGCGAAGCCUUUAGAGAUAGAGGCGUGCCUUCGGGAGCGCUGAGACAGGUGCUGCAUGGCUGUCGUCAGCUCGUGUUGUGAAAUGUUGGGUUAAGUCCCGCAACGAGCGCAACCCUUAUCCUUGUUUGCCAGCACAUAAUGGUGGGAACUCCAGGGAGACUGCCGGUGAUAAACCGGAGGAAGGUGGGGACGACGUCAAGUCAUCAUGGCCCUUACGAGUAGGGCUACACACGUGCUACAAUGGCAGAUACAGAGGGCAGCGACGCUGCGAAGUAGAGCGAAUCCCUUAAAGUCUGUCGUAGUCCGGAUUGGAGUCUGCAACUCGACUCCAUGAAGUCGGAAUCGCUAGUAAUCGUGGAUCAAAAUGCCACGGUGAAUACGUUCCCGGGUCUUGGACACACCGAAC